UAAUAAGAGAAAAUAUAUUACCAUGUUAAAAUAAUAUUUAUAUUACAUGAAACAUACCUUUAUAUUAUAUUAGCAAAUAUAACAAAUGAGGACAUUUUUAAAGAUUUUUUAAUGAUCAUUGAUCAUAGAUGCAUAUAGAACACUUAUAGAUGAUAUUCUUAUAGAUGAUAUUAAACAUAUUAUAUAAUAUUAUACUUAUUAUAUAACUUAUUGUUGAAAUAUCUUUGCAUCCAUGCAAUAUAUUAUAUAUAUUUUAUAAAUAUAUAAUAAAUUAAAAAUAUAAUAUAUUUCUCUAUAUUUUACAAUAUAAUAUAAUCACAAACAUUUCCAACAUAUCUUAUAUAUCUCUCAAAAUACGUCUUUAUAUAGAAACAUAUUUUUCAAGAACACUUAAUUCACUAUUCUCAUUGUAUGAAUAUUAUUUCUUUAUUAUGUCAAUAAAUAUACUAAAUUCCAUUUUCUAUAAACAUAACUAUCUAUAUCUCAUUCUAAACAUCUUUCCAUGUAGUACAACAUUAAACUACAUUCACAUUGAACAACUUAAAAUAAACAAUUUAUCAUAUUGAACAACUUAAUUACUCAAUUUGUUAUUCCAAUAUAUACAUACCAUUUCUAUCCUAUGAAUAAAUAUAUUAAUCAUUAUUCAGCAUUCUACAAUAGAUAAUUAUAUUAUAAAAUUCCAUAAUGUUAUACAAAAAAAAACUUAUCUUUAAAUCACAUUGAACAACUCAAUCUGCCACCUUAAUUGCAUCCAUACGGGGAAAAAAUGAAUAAACAAGAAACUCAAUCACCACCACCGAGCUUUCUGAUCAAUCGAAAGUGCAAGCGAAGAAAAACAGCUGGUUCCAGGGUCACCGAGUUCGUUCGUUGUGAAUGGACCCGUACUCGAGGAACAGUUGGUAGUGGGGGUUCAAUCAUCGCAAUGAAUUACAACGAGCCAGUCACCGAGAGUGACUCACUACGUUGCUCUAGCCGUUGCAGCUCGAUAAAACUCUUUUUCUUUGCCCUUCUCGUGCCGAAGGAAUUCGAGAGUGGCCGGGAACAGAAAGAGAGACGCUUGAGAAGCCAACGAGAAGCGGUCGCUUAUGAAUCACUUGAGUACGCGAGCUAAAUGCUUUGUAGAAGGGACAUAGUAGGAGAAUAAGAGGAUUUUCGUUCGUUGGUAUUGCCAACCUAACGGGAUUUCUAGUGGUCUUAAUGGGUUGAUGGUAAUUCUUUGUUGUUGCAGCUGGAUAAGUAAAUUUUUAGAUAGAUGAGCUCUCUCGGACCGCGCAUACCGUGCCAAUUAUUCUCCGCACGGAAGUUCCAUGGCUUGGCGUGAGAGAUUGAUGCGAGAGUCGAUGCACUCCACGCUUAUGUUUUAUUCAUACCUUUCACCAGGUUUGCACAAAACUUUCACAGAAUGAAAAUAAAUGACGCACAUGGGAAACAGAGAAUGUAAAAUGCAUCCUAAGCAAUUUAUGCAAGACCCAGAGAAGUAAUUAGGUGAUUGUAGGUACUAAUGUGCAUUUAAAUAUGGACAAAGCCUUGCCAAUUGUUAUCUCAAUGAAAGUCUAUUUCUACGAAUUGAUCUUGGGAAUACGUUUCAUUGAACUAUAGUAUUCACAGUAAUUUUUUAAUCACUUUUUCCUUUCUUUUGAAAUGAAAUGAAAAUUUAAGUUUAUUCUUUCCUGUAAUUUCAAACAAUAAAGAGAUUAAUUUUUCUUCGAUAUAAAUAAAAACAUUCGAAAUUUUUAUAUUUUAUUAUUACAUGAGAAAUAAAUUAACAAAAAUGUGUAUUCAUACCGUAUAAAUCACUAUAACAAGGGACCAUUUCUCAUGAAUCACUUCUUCCGAUUACGAAACACGUAUGACUUGAUUAUCGAACAAUGUCAACUGCCAUGCAUUAAAAAUCCUUCGAGAACACUACAAAUCAGAGAUAACGUAUUGUCAAGGUUACCAAUUUUCUGUAUUUAACAUUAAAAUAAUGCUCAACAAUCAUAGAUAUUUCAUAUUUUUAUUUUAUUUAUUUAAAAAAAAAAAAAAAAAAGAAAACGAGAAAAUUUUCAACGAAAUCUUGAUUUUCCUUAAAAAAAACAAAUAAAAGAAAUAAAUAAAAAAAAAUAAGACUAUAAAAUUAACCAAUAAUUAUAAUUUAUCAUUUUAAGAUCAAUUUUAUUAAAUACACAAUUCAAUAAUUCAAUAAUAUUCCGGAAAGUUCGAUUUCACGCGAUACGAAUCAACCUUUAAAAAUUCUCGGAUCAUUACAUAUUGUAAGAUUUACACGACAAUACAAACUAAUAAAGUAUCUCGUUCGCAGGAUUUUAUCAUUAUUUACAAGCAUUAUUCACCACAAAAUGGACGUUGAAACUGUAAUUUUCACGACGAAGGCGUGUUCCGCGCCUCGAUUCCACUCUCCGCGUGAAAAAACUCUUCUACAAGCUCUAUAUUUAUCAACACGUUGGAUACUUUCGACGUUGGAGUCCAAACUAACCCUCGACAUUCUUAAGAACUGGAGGAUGAUGCCUAUAAUUUCGAAAAAGACACGUGGAGAUUAAAAAUUAAUUAAUAUUCAAGUAUAUAUAUAUAUAAAAUAUUUGGAAUUCUCUUCAUUGUCAAGUGAUGAAUUGAUUUCUUCGAUAACUAAAGGAUAGAUUAUUAUAUUAUUCGAGAUAUUAUUAUUAGAUUUGAGUUUGAAUAUUUUUAGAAUAAUAAAAAGAUUUUAAAUUUAA